rnacentral:rRNA from 1 species
AACGAACGCUGGCGGCGUGCCUAACACAUGCAAGUCGAACGAGAAAGUCCUUCGGGAUGAGUACAGUGGCGCACGGGAGAGUAACACGUGGGUAACCUUCCUUAAAGACUGGGACAACUUUCCGAAAGGAGAGCUAAUAUCAGAUGAGACCACGGGACCUACGGUUCUUGAGGUCAAAGGGUGCUACAAAGUAUCGCUUUAAGAUGGGCCUGCGGCGCAUUAGCUCGUUGGUAGGGUAACGGCCUACCAAGGCUACGAUGCGUAGCUGAUCUGAGAGGAUGAUCAGCCACACUGGAACUGAGACACGGUCCAGACUCCUACGGGAGGCAGCAGUGGGGAAUAUUGGGCAAUGGGGGCAACCCUGACCCAGCAACGCCGCGUGAGUGAUGAAGGCCUUCGGGUCGUAAAGCUCUGUUGGGGGAGACGAAACCGUAUGUUAACAACAUACGCUGACUUAACCCCCUGAGGAAGCACCGGCUAACUCUGUGCCAGCAGCCGCAGUAACAC